rnacentral:lncRNA from 1 species
UGUUUGUGUCCACAUUUGUUGUAGAAAUUGUAGAUUUUUCAUCUCUUUGAGUCAGGGCAAUUUGUGUUAUUACGACACAUCUAAUCAUGCUAGUUACAACUUUUUAUUUAGAACCAAAAAUAAAAGUCAAAAUAAAUUUUGUCAAAAAUAUAUUUCAUAAAAUUUCAACAAAAUAUUUUGGGCAAAAUAUACAUACAAAGACUGAUGUAACUUUUAUAUAAACAGAAUAACAUAUUUUUAAACAACCUCUAGAUGAUAAUCAGAACUUAAAUAAAGAUCUAUAUUUCCCAGUACUAUUGCCAACCAUUGUUAAUACAUGUCCUGGACCAAACACAUAUGGUUAAUUGAUUAAAGAAGAUGUGGUACUAAUGCCAAUGAGACAACUCUUCCUCUAAGUCACAAUUUGAAAAAGUAAACCAUUAUAGGUCAGAGUAUGGCAUUCAACAUGUAGCCUUAGUUCACAUCAAACAGCAAGCUAUUAAGUGCCCCAAAAAUGACUAGUGUAAAACCAUUCAAACAGGAAUUCAAAUUUAUUUGGAAAACAAAUCUAUAUGGUCUGGUCUGUCAACAUAAACCAAACUAAUAUAUAUACUCAUAUUUUUUUAACAUAUAAGUACCCGUGCAUCAAUAUGGUCAUGACCACAGGCAUGCAGUCCAAAAAGUGACAUGAUCCAGAACAUAUACAUAAGUAUGGCAUUCCCUUUAUUGCAAAAAUAUAAUUUUAUAAAUAAUACAAAAUAAUCAUUUGAGCUGCGUCGGAUAUAAAUCACCCAUGUGUAAAUGAAUAUCAUUACAUCUGUUAUCCUAUUUGAGGUUAAACAAAUUUCAAAGUCUGUACUUGUUUGAAAAUGUUAUAUGUUAAGGUGGUACCUAACACUUACACUAAAAUUAAUUUGGCUCUUAUAAUUUUCAUAAAAUUUUGUCAAAGUAUUUACUUUGACCCUUUAACAAAAAUAUAAAAAUUUCUAAAGCUUUGAACCAACUGUUUUGUCAGAAAAAUUACACUGGUCAUAUAGCAGUUUGACAAACACCAAUGUUGAUCAUUGAGAAGUUUAAUAUUCCCUUUACAACACAACGUAAUUAAAACAUUUAGCUGACUUUAUAGAGUUAUCUCCCUGUAGUGUUAGGUACCACCUUAAAAGAACUCUUCAAAACAGACCAAAACCUAUCUUUCAUUUCAUAUUUGAAUGUUCGAAAAUAAAUCAAAGUCUUAAAUAUGUACCUGUAUAUUUUCACUAGAAUAUGGUCGAUUUCUAUCUGAUGCAUUUCUUUCUAAAAAUAUUGUCAUGAACAAUUCACUGAUGUGUAUUAAGUCUGAAGUUGAUUAGCAAAAAACUUUUAAAACAGGUUUUUCACAAUUUUAUAUUAAGCACUUUAAUUAAAAGCAGAAGUGACUUUUGUUAUUUUUUCUCCGUUUGGAAAAACAUUUCUAUGGUUAAACCUUAAAUACUACAUUUUUGGGGGCAAAUUUCCACUUAAGGUGGUACCUAACACUUUAACUAAAAUUAAUUUGGCUCGUUUAAUUUUCAUAAAAUUUGACAAGGUAUUUACUUUGACCCUUUGACCAAAAUAUAAAAAUUUAAAAAAAAUUGAACCAACCGUUUUAUCAGAAAAAUAACACUGGUUAUAUAGCAGUUUGACAAACACUUAUUUUGAUCAUUGAGAAGCU